rnacentral:lncRNA from 1 species
CACUAGCGGCGCGUGGGACCACGCGCCACCGUGAAAAACAACCCGAAACAGGGGGGGUCUGCAACGACCUCCUCCCCCUUUCUUUCCUCGCCGGCGCCAACCUGCAAUAACAACAGAAAACCCAACAAAGCAGUCGAUUUUAAUUUUUUCUUAGUUUUUUUCAGAUCUGUUUUUUCUUCUUCUUCUCCAUAUCUGCUCCCGAUCUUCUUUCUUCCUCCCUUCUCUGUUUCAGGCGGGUCGGUUUGUCUUCUCCUCUGUUUCGGGUGGUAGAUCGGGCGGCGAGAAGGUGUGACGGCCACGAGGGGGUGGCGUUGCUGGGGCCGGAGCAGUGGGUGUUGCUGCUAUGUUCGAGCUGUUAUUGGGGGUUCUGAUCCGGUCUUGGCGGACUGGCC